CCGCCGGAACGGGGUUGCCUGGCAACCAGGAGACGCGGGGGACGCCCUCUCCCGGGGCUGCCGUCUCCGCCGCCCGGGUCUCCGCGGCGCGGGACUGUUGGGGCGUCGGGGCAAGUGUGAUCACGGAGUCAUCCAGGCCGACUCCUUUGAGAAUACAAAGCACUUAAAGUCAGGAGAUCUUACACUGUUGACCGAAUGCAGUGCUAGAAAUGGUCACCGGUGUGCUCAGACUCUGGGGUAAAGGGACGCUGUUUCAAGUCAGGCUCCAUUUGUUGAGUUUGCCGAUGCUGCUUCAGUCCGGGGACGACUAAUAAAAUUUCAUCAAGUGCGUGGUAAUGGGCACACGCUAAGGAUGUCGUCUACAACUUGUAUAUUUCCCAAACUUGGGACAUUUGAAGUAAAAGCAAACACUUCUUGAUAGCAAAUUUCCCUCCAGGAUAACUUUUGAGAAGUGGCCUUACUGGGCCAUUCUAACAGGCGUGAGGUGGCUUCGAUUUGCAUUUUCCUGAUGAGUGAUACUGAGCAUCCUUCCAGAUAGUAAUUCCAACAAUGGAAGCAAGAACUGGAGCAAGAGCUAAAAGAGGAGUGAGAAAGAGAUGAUGAGAGGAGAGAAGUGAAUAGAAGGCCUUCAAUAUUUCAGAGUCUGACAAAGGAGACACCAAAAGAAGCUGAAAAUCAAAUUGUUGCCAGGGGCUUUGCAACAGAGAAUAAAGUACAGUGACAUGACUUAAUGGAAGGAUCAAUGACCCAUAUUCUCAAUAAGGUACCAAGAAUUGUUACAGGCAUGAAGUCGGGUACAGGAAUCAAGGGAACAGACAGUUUGGGGAUAAGAUGACAAAUAAGAUGUAACUGCUGUCUUUAAGAAGCUUACAGUAUGUUAAGGUAAAACAAACACAUAAAAACUAGAGUUAAUAUUUGUAGAUGCCAUGACUGAAGUAUGUAUUGACUACAGUGAAAUCACUAGAGCCUUUCUGUCUGUUGGGAUGUAAGGUGGAGUGAUAGAAAACUUCAUUAGAGAGUAACUCCUGAACUGUUUUUGAAAGAUGUGUAGUUCAUCAGAUUGACAAAUUGUGAUGUAAAAUAUUCUGCACAGUUGGACCAGUGUGGAAAAGGGCAUAGGGUUGUUUAUUUGAAAAUUGGAAAUUUGUGUGAGACAGCACAAAACACAGGGCUGUAAUUGUAGGUAGGGAUAUGGUCAGGAAAGCUUUUAAUGUCACAUAAAGGAAUUUGGACUUUAUUAUAUGGAUGCUUAGAGUCAGAAAUGAGUCUUAUGCAGGGAAAUGACAAAUCCUAUUUACCCUUUUUUUUUUUUUUGUGGUGCAAAAAGAAAGAAAUUUGUUUCAGUGAGACCAACACCAGGCAGACAGCAGACUAGUGCCUCAAGACUGUUUCUGAAGCAGUGAAAAUACUUCCAGGUUUUUUAUAAGGAAAGUGUGGGACAAAGGUAGUGGGUACAUGCUGGUAAGCAGGUUCACCCUGACAAAGCCUUAGUGGGUAGACUCACAGGUGGGAAUUUGGCAACAAAGAGAUAAUUUGGGAGACUUUGCAAUAGUUUAGGCAAGAAAUGGAAGAUGAAAUAAAUCUAGAUGGAUAGGUAACAAGAUCAGUUUUAGAUUUAGAUUGGGGUGUGUGUUGGGUUUCCAAGAAGAGACAAAUAGGCAUCAAGGGAAAGCUCUGGAUUAGAAUUGUAGCUUUGGGAUCUAUCAGUAUAUAACUGAUAGCCAUAUAUAUGGAUGAGAUCAUUUAGUGAGGGAAGAAAGGAUAGAAUAUUGGGAAACAACAUUUAAGGUGUAAUAGAUAAAAAGAACUCUAAGAUGAAAAAUAUAAGAAGGCAGGAAUGGAAGGUAAAGAGAAUGGAUUUAUGGAAGUGAAGGCGGAAAUAAGUAGUCAACAUGACAAUAUAUGAAGAUUUUUUCUUUUAAUAAACUUCUCUAUAUUACCAGAAUCUAGCAUAGAACCUGGCACUGAGUGGGUGUUAACAUAUAUCUUUGGAACUGAACUUACCAAGUACACUUUGUCAUCACUACAAUAUUAUUGGUCAGAGAAAAUCCUCAAUCCACACAGUGAGAUGGGUAUAGCCAGCAUCUAAAUGGUGGCUCUUUCAUGUGCAACAUCUGCAAGAUCACUGGGGAUUUUGGAGAAGGUUUUCCCACUGGACGUUUCAUAAUGUGGAUCGACUCUCUUCACACUUUCCUUCUCUAUCCUUAGAGACCUAUUAUUAUAUUAUGAUAUAAAGAAUAGAUUCUGUUUGUGUAAUAUAACUAUUAUUUAUUUCAGUGGUUGAAAGGAUUGUAGUUCAUAUCUUUUUCAUUGACAUACAAGACCUAAUAGUAUAUGUACAUCUAUGGCAAAAAGAGAUUAAAUUCAUACAUAGUUCCUACCUAAAACAAUUUUUGUUAAUAUGUAUUUUGUAGUGCUUAGCAUGAAAAUAACUUUCCUCUUCUCUCAAAUAGAGCCUACUUCUAAAGAGACUAAGCUAAAAAUAUUUCUUUCAUUUAAAGACAAAUCCUUUACUUUGAAUAAUAAAAUAUGAUAGCUUAUUAAAAAUUUGGUUUGUUAAAUCUGAUUGAAGAUUCAGUCCAAAGCCAUUUUGAAAGCUAGGAUUUUAAUUUGCAUGUUAUGGUUUUUUAUUAUGUAUUUAUUUUAUGCAGCUGUCUUUCAAUUUUGUGACAUAGUUAAGCAAUUGUUGAUAGGUGUGUUGAAUUUAGUAAGAUUGCCUUCUUUACUUAAAUGAUCUGUUUUCGUCGAGCUGCCAGUAAAAGAUGAUCUCACACUUUUUGACAUAUUAUUAGUGAUGGUUGUUAAAGGAAUAUUGAUAUUUCCUUAUGCUGUUUAUUUUGUUUCUUCAUAUAUCAUACUGACCUUAUUUAUUCUGUCCUUUGCACAUUUUUUGUUUUCUUUGAGAAGGACACAGAAUAAAUGUUCAUAAAAUCAGUUAUGGGUUAUGAGGAAAAAUCCAAAUAUGAGUUAGCUGCUUUACAACUAUCAGAAUUUCUCUUCUAAAAAUAUAAAAAUUAAAAUUAAAAAUCCUCCAUUUGGGUCAAAAUUUUCUCUUAUUCAUGGCCACUAUUUAUUUUGUCUUUGAAUCAUUAUAUACUUACAUAAUACUCUUAAAUUUUUUCUAAUAUUUUAUUGUUAUAACAAUUGUUACAUCCUUUAACUGAAUAUUUUCCAAAUUUUUAAUCAACUUAGUGACAUCUUGAAAUCAUUUAAUUUACUCAUUCAUCCUUCUUUUUCACAUUUUUUCCUAAACACCUGUCAUGUGCCAGGAUUGAACUAGAUCCUAAAAAUGUGCUGGUAAGCAAGGGACAUGUCUUUGCCCUCGUGAAACUUCUAGUCUGAUUGUGGAGAUAGAAAAAGAAAAAAAAAAGUAGUGCAUACAUAAACUAGAACAUUAGACAUUUUGAUGAGUAUCUGAAGAGAAUAAGCACAGGGCUUUUACAGCACUUAGUACGUCCUAAGUUUGUAUGAUAAACUCACCAAUCAUUUGAUAACAAGUGUACAAUACAUACAUACAUUCUCACUCCCCUAAUAUAUCACUAUAGUUUACUUAAUUUAAAAAUAUUCAAAUAUAGCUUUUCAAUUAUGACAGCUAUAUUAUUUAAAAAGUAUGCCAGAAGCAUCAGUAUCACCUGUCUUGUUAGAAAUACACAUUUUCAGGUCCCACCUCAGACCUAUGGAUUCAGAUACUCUGGGGUGGUGCUCAGAAAUCUGGGUUUCAACAAGUCGUCCAGUUGACUCUGUUGCACAUGCAUGCUAACAGUUGAGAAAUACUAAUUUAAAGUUUUUCUGGAAAGCCUUCCUAAACACAGAUGAAUCUAUAUAGAUAGACUUCCUAUGUAUAUUUCUAACACAUGGUCAGCACACUAUAGCCCUCAGACAAAAACCAGCCUGCAGCUUGUUUUCUGUAAUAAAAGUUAUUGGAAUACAAUCGUAUCCAUUUGUUUAUGUACUGUUUAUGGCUCUUUAAAGCUAAGGCAGAAUGCUAAUGGUUCUCCAAACCCUAAAAUAUUUACUAUCUGCUUCUUCACAGAAAAAAAAGAAAGUCUGCUUCCUACUCUAGUACUAUAGCAUAGCACUUGUUAAACUGAAUUACCAUUAGCUUUUUACUUACUAUUCUUUUAUUGCCAACACUUUUCUGAAUUCUGGGAUGCAUUCGCAAAAAAAGAAAAGUUUCCAUCCUUAUAGAGCUUGCAUUCUGGGGUGGGUGGAAUAGACUGAAAAAAAUAAAUAUAAUUUCCUUUAAUCAACAACAGAUUUAGAAUUGUGUAUUGUUCACUAUGGUGCCUAGCCUGGUAUCUGGUCCACACUGGAUGUUCAAUAGCUGUCUAUCAAAUAAUGAAUUACCAAUAAGUGAAUGAAAGAAUGCCACACAGUGACAGGGAGCACCUCUCUGUUUGUGCAUGAGCAUCAAGAAUGUACAUGAACUGUCUUGGAAUUAUUUGUCUCUUCCUAUUCAUAACUGAUAUCCUGAGAUUCUACACUCAGUGAGCCUCAAUCCUCAUUUGGUGUUUCAAAUGGCCCAAAAAGUGUUACAGGAUUCAGAUAGUAUUAAAAAACACAAUUUUAAAAAUUAAACUAAUAUAUCCUUUUAGGAGAGUAAGCAAGGGUUCAUAUAUGUGACAAGUAUAGUGAGUCAUGACCCAUUUCUGCAACUCCAAGAGUUGGGAAUCAUCACAUUCUGCCUUGCAAUAGUAUUUUAAAACAUAGCCUAUCUAUAUGAUAUGAAACAAUACUUUGGGUCGUGGUUGAGUAGUUUAUCAUACAAAGCACCAGGAUAGCAU